GACUCGCUAGCUCAGUUGGUUAGUAGCGGAUGACUGUUAAUCAUCAGGUCGCAGGUUCAAGCCCUGCGCGAGUCG
rnacentral:tRNA from 1 species